UCAAAUAAUAAUAAUCAUAGUAGUUGUCGAGGGUGCAACAAGCACGUCCGGUGAACAGGUCAGGGUUCCAUAGCCGCAGGCAGAACAAUUGAAACUGGAGCAGCAGCACGGCCAGGUGAACUGGGGACAGCAAGGAGUCAUCAGGCCAGGCAGUCCUGAGGCAUGGUCCUAGGGCUCAGGUCCUCUGAGAGAGAGAAAGAAAGAAAGAGAGAAAGAGAGAAUUAGAGAGAGCAUAUUUAAAUUCACACAGGACACCGGAAAAGACAAGAGAAAUACUCCGGAUGUGACAGACUGACCCUAGCCCCCCGACACAUAAACUACUGCAGCAUAAAUACUGGAGGCUGAGACAGGAGGGGUCAGGAGACACUGUGGCCCCAUCCGAUGAAACACCCCGGACAGGGCCAAACAGGUAGGAUAUAACCCCACCCACUUUGCCAAAGCACAGCCCCCACACCACUAGAGGGAUAUCUCCAACCACCAACCUACCAUCCCGAGACAAGGCCGAGUAUAGCCCACAAAGAUCUCCGCCACGGCACAACCCAAGGGGGAGCGCCAACCCAGACAGGAAGACCACGUCAGUGACUCAACCCACUCAAGUGACGCACCCCUCCCAGGGACGGCAUGGAAGAACACCAGUAAGCCAGUGACUCAGCCCCUGUAAUAGGGGUAGAGGCAGAGAAUCCCAGUGGAGAGAGGGGAAACCGGCCAGGCAGAGACAGCAAGGGCGGUUCGUUGCUCCAGCCUUUCCGUUCACCUUUACACCCCUGGGCCAGACUACACUUAAUCAUAGGACCUACUGAAGAGAUGUGUUUUCAGUAAAGACUUAAAGGUUGAGACAGAGUCUGCGCCUCUCACAUGGGUAGGCAGACUAUUCCAUAAAAAUGAGAGGUAUGGACAAUGAAUGGGGGAAUUAAGUGUGUGUAUGUGUGAGAGAGACUGUAACGCAAGGUUCGGCAAGUUACCUGUCUUAUAAAAGCUCCUUGUGCUCAGAUGGGCGGGGUAUGAUUUGUUUAGUUGUGUCCUUAAAAACAUGAUCCAAAGUGCAUAUUUUGGACAGCGCUGAUAGGGAUAUUUAUGACCAACCUAAGCUGGUUUUAGCAGUAACGCAGUUGGUUAUGGCAUGAAUUUUGACAGCGGAAACGCAGCCUAUCCAGUCAUGACGCACUCUGCCAAUAUAUAUGUGCAUGGAACAAGCGUAGCCUAAUGUGCUUUUGGGGCCUGUACACUUCGUAUUUAUGAAACAUAAAAAAACGACAGUUUUUCUCCCAUUUCGUUUUAUUUGAUUAAAAACCAAGCAUAGCCUCCCCUCCACUCAAUGAAGGCUUUUUUUGUCUGCCCAAUGCAAUCGGAAAAUAGUCAAGACUGUCGAUAAAGGGUUUGGCUCCUGAGACCGCUUGGAAAUAAAUCUUAAUCACGAAAUCUUUAUUAAAAUAUUAAGUUUAAGAGGAGUAAAACAGUGAGCUGACAUUCCCUUUUUAUCUAUGCAUUGUAGGCAGGCCCAUAUUAUUUUAGCCAUGCAGGUCCUGUUUUGGAUGUGCGUAAAACCCUCCAGUGUCUGCGUUGUUCUAAUAUUACAUGCCCACAGGGGGAAAUGUUCUAUUUUUUUUAUUUAACCUUUAUUUAACCAGAAAAAGUCAUUUGAGACCCAGAGUGUCUUUUUCAAGGGAGACCUGGCCAAGAUGGCAGCAACAAUCAAUACAUUACAGAAUUAAAACAUACUACAGUACAAUAACAUGAUCCAGCCUAAAAAAAAGCUUUUACACUCCUCUGUAAAGGUCUCCCAUCAACAUUUUAAAUUAAUUCAGUGGCACUAACAUAUCUAGAUGAAGCAUGGAUUGUAGACUAUUCCAUGCCUCAGGUGAACAAGAGGAGAAGGCAGUAUUGCCCUAUACUGUAAAUGUCCUGGGGACUUUAAGUAGAAACCACCUAGCAGACCAGGUAUGGUAACUGCUGGUGGUGAAGGAGACCAGACUACAGAGGCAAAGAGGGAGUUUACCCAAAAGGGCUUUGUAGAUGAACACAUACAAAUUUAGCUUUCUGCGCAUUUAAAGUUAGCUCCAAUUCACCAUAGUGGGUGAGUGACUUGGCAUUUGUAAUAAAGCGCAAUGAUGCAUGAUGAACAGAGUCCAGUCUCUGUAAGACAGAGGAGGCUGCAUGCACAUACAACAAGUCACAAUAAUCAAUUGCAGCGAAAAAAGUGGCCUGAACAAGCUUCUUCCUAGCCAUAAGUGGGAAGCAAGCCUUAUUACGAAAAUAAAAACCCAAUUUCAAUUUAAGCUUCCUCUCAAGAUUAUCCAUAUGAACUUUAAAGGACAACUUGUUAUCCAACCAUAUACCUAGGUAUUUUCAAUGGAUAAGUCACCAGAUGUGACAAUGCUAACAUUCUCUGACUGAGUGCGAGCUCUGGUGAAGGUCAUGAAUUUUGUUUUUAUGUACAUUCAUGACCAGUUUGAGACCAUAAAGGUAGGCCUGCAGUGACUGAAAAGCAGUCUGGAGCUCUUCAAGCCUGAACCAGACAAGGAGCACAUGCAUAUGAUUGUAUCAUCUGCAUAUAGAUGUAACUUUGCUGGUUGCGUCCCAUUUCCCAAAUCAUUAAUAAAAGUUUAGAACAACACAGGAGCUAAAAUGGAACCCUGGGGCACACCUCUAUUAAUCUCAAGAAAGCUAGACUUGUGAUUGUCAGUACAUACACAUUGUGUUCUGUCGGAAAGACACCAAAGUUACUAGCUUUUUAACAAUUCAUGGUCAACUGAAUCAAAUGCCUUUGAUAAAUCAACAAUGUUGCUUUUUAUCAAGUGCAUUUAUGUCAUUUGCCACUGCUAUAGUUGCAGUUGUGGUGCUGUGCCCUGAUCUAAAGCCAGACUGAACCCUGCUCAGUAUGUUCUUUUCAAAUAUGAAGUUUAACUGCGAGUUCACUAGGAAUUCAUAGACUUUGGCCAGGAUAGGGAGUUAUUAGUAGUUAUUAGCAUCUGAGGGAUCUCCACCCUUUAGCAGUGGGAAGAGAUAAGCUGAUUUCCAAAGGCUGGGUAUGGAAUUAGUCAAAAGACUCAAGUUGAAAAUGUGAGCCACAGGUUCAGUAAUAAUACCAGCUGCUAUCUUUAAGAGGUAGGGGUCAAGGUUGUCUGGACCUGCAGACUUUUUAGUGUCUAUAGCUUUUAGUGCUUUAUAGACCUCAGCAUAAGACACAGGCUCAAAGUUAAAAUGGUUCACAUAAGGGCCUAUAUCAUUGACUGUAACAGAGCUUACAUUAGAGGCCUGGGCCCCACCAUUAUCAACAACUGAACUGGCAGAUAUGAAGUGCUUGUUAAAAACCCCUACAAUAUCUGCUUUAUCCUUCACUUCAUUAGAAUCCAUCAUUAAAUGGUCAGGAAGGCCAGAGGAUACAUUAGAACCUGACACUGAUUUGAUUAGCUUCCAGAACUUGGUAGGGUUGUUUAGGUUCUCUGUGACUGCAUUUAAAUAGUCAUCUGAUUUGGACUUCCUGAUCAAUCCUGUGCAUUUGUUUCUUAGCGCUCUGAAGGAGGCCCAGUCAACAGGAGCAUUUGUAUGUCUAGCUUGAGCCCAAGAGACAUUUCUCUUUCUAAUUCGUUUUCUGAAAACCAAGGAUUGUCCCUUCCACUGAUUCUACAUUUCUUCACAGGGGCAUGCUUAUCACAAAUGGACACAAAUUUCAUAUAAAAAUAGUCCCAGGCAGCGGUCAACAUCGGGAAUCAGACUUAACUGUGUCAAUAUUAUAGUACAGAUCAUGUAAGCACGCUUGCUCACCAAACUGUCUAAAAUGUAUUUUAAAAAAUAUAAUGGGGUUUGACUUUGGUAUUUAUUUAUUUUCUAACGCAAGCAAUUGCACAGUGAUCACUGACAUCAUUACUGAAUAUCCCAGUCGAUGUGUAUUUGUGAGGGGUAUUUGUUAGAAUAAUGUCCAAUAGUGUUGAUUUGUUAGGUGCUCUGGGAUUCGGUCUUGUAGGCACAUUAAUUGAGCAAGAUUCAGAGAGUCACACAGAUCUUUAAAAGAGUCCGAUACAGAUGUAUCGGAUGGGGCCACAGUGUCUUCUGAUCCCUCCUGUCUCAGCCUCCAGUAUUUAUGCUGCAGUAGUUUAUGUGUCGGGGGGCUAGGGUCAGUCUGUUACAUCUGGAGUAUUUCUCUUGUCUUACCC
rnacentral:lncRNA from 1 species